CCUACGGGUGGCAGCAGUGAGGAAUAUUGGUCAAUGGGCGCGAGCCUGAACCAGCCAAGUAGCGUGAAGGAUGACUGCCCUACGGGUUUUAAACUUCUUUUAUAAGGGAAUAAAGUGAGGCACGUGUGCCUUUUUGUAUGUACUUUAUGAAUAAGCAUCGGCUAACUCCGUGCCAGCAGCCGCGGUAAUACGGAGGAUUCGAGCGUUAUUCGGAUUUAUUGGGUUUAAAGGGAGAGUAGAUGGGUUGUUAAGUCAGUUGUGAAAGUUUUGGGCUUAACCGGAAAAGUGCAAUUGAUACUGUCAGUCUUGAGUACAGUGGAGGUAGGCGGAAUUCGUGGUGUAGCGGUGAAAUGCGUAGAUAUCACGAAGAACUCCGAUUGCGAAGGCAGCUUACUGAACUGAAACUGACGCUGAUGCUCGAAAGUGUGGGUAUCAAACAGGAUUAGAUACCCUAGUAGUC
rnacentral:rRNA from 1 species